AACUCAGGAUCACUCGUGUUACACUGCAAUCGCGUGUCGCCCUUAGAGUUUGAUCCUGGCUCAGGAUGAACGCUGGCGGCGUGCCUAACACAUGCAAGUCGAACGAUCAUCUAGAUUCGUCUGGGUGAUAGUGGCGAACGGGUGAGUAACACGUAGGUGACCUGCCCCAGAGAGGGGAAUAACUGCUGGAAACGGUAGCUAAUACCCCAUAUGCUCGGUAGUUCGUUCUGCCGAGUAAAGCUCCGGCGCUCUGGGAGGGGCCUGCGGCCCAUCAGGUAGUUGGUAGGAUAAUGGCCUACCAAGCCUAUGACGGGUAGGGGGCGUGAGAGCGUGAUCCCCCACACUGGCACUGAGACACGGGCCAGACUCCUACGGGAGGCAGCAGUGAGGAAUAUUGAGCAAUGGGCGAAAGCCUGACUCAGCAACGCCGCGUGGGCGAUGAAGGCCUUCGGGUCGUAAAGCCCUUUUCUGAGGGAAGAGGAAGGACGGUACCUCAGGGAUAAGUCACGGCUAACUACGUGCCAGCAGCCGCGGUAAUACGUAGGUGGCCAGCGUUAUCCGGAAUUACUGGGCGUAAAGCGCGUGUAGGUGGUUCCGUUAGUCGGACGUGAAAUCUCCUGGCUUAACUGGGAGAGGCCGUUCAAAACUACCAGACUAGAGGACAGUAGAGGGAGGUGGAAUUCCCGGUGUAGUAGUGAAAUGCGUAGAUAUCGGGAGGAACACCAGUGGCGAAAGCGGCCUCCUGGACUGUUCCUGACACUCAGAUGCGAAAGCUAGGGGAGCAAACGGGAUUAGAAACCCCGGUAGUCCUAGCUGUAAACGAUGUAGACUUGGCGUCGGUGGGGUAAAAUCCGUCGGUGCCGAAGCUAACGCGAUAAGUCUACCGCCUGGGGACUACGGCCGCAAGGUUAAAACUCAAAGGAAUUGACGGGGCCCCGCACAAGCAGCGGAGCGUGUGGUUUAAUUCGUUGCUACGCGAAGAACCUUACCCGGGUUUGACAUACAGGUAGUAGGGAUCCAAAAGGUGACCGACCCUUCGGGGAGCCUGUACAGGUGCUGCAUGGCUGUCGUCAGCUCGUGCCGUGAGGUGUCCGGUUAAGUCCGGCAACGAGCGCAACCCCCGUCGUAUGUUAUACGUGUCAUACGAGACUGCCGGUAUCAAGCCGGAGGAAGGUGGGGACGACGUCAAGUCAGCAUGGCCUUUAUAUCCGGGGCUACACACACGCUACAAUGGUCGGUACAAUGGGUCGCAAAGCCGCGAGGUGGAGCCAAUCCUCAAAAUCGGCCUCAGUUCAGAUUGUAGGCUGCAACCCGCCUACAUGAAGUCGGAGUUGCUAGUAAACGCGCGUCAGCAUUAGUGCGUUGAAUACGUUCCCGGGGCUUGUACACACCGCCCGUCACGUCAUGGGAGCUGGUAACACCUGAAGCCGGUAUCCUAACCCGUAAGGGAGGGAGCUGUCGAAGGUGGGACUGGUGACUGGGACGAAGUCGUAACAAGGUAACCAAGGGCGACACGCGGAUUGCAGUCUUGAGUCCACCG
rnacentral:rRNA from 1 species